UAUGUAACAUUACAUUAACGUUUUAAAUUACAGGAAAGUGUUGAAAGAUCUGAAAGAGGAAAACGUCGAGUUUGCCUAAUAUGCAUAGAAUGGAGAGGAAGAAUUUGUAUAUUAUGUAGACUUUGGGGUUAAAAUAAAAUGGAUCUCAAUCCAAGAGAAAAAAAUAAACAAAUAAUG
rnacentral:sRNA from 1 species